UAGUCAGCAGCCAAACCUCAGU
rnacentral:miRNA from 1 species